rnacentral:rRNA from 1 species
UACGUAGGGUGCAAGCGUUAAUCGGAAUUACUGGGCGUAAAGCGUGCGCAGGCGGUUUUGUAAGUCUGUCGUGAAAGCCCCGGGCUCAACCUGGGAACUGCAUUUGUGACUGCAUCGCUGGAGUGCGGCAGAGGGGGGUAGAAUUCCACGUGUAGCAGUGAAAUGCGUAGAGAUGUGGAGGAACACCGAUGGCGAAGGCAGCCCCCUGGGUCAAGAUUGACGCUCAUGCACGAAAGCGUGGGGAGCAAACAGG